rnacentral:rRNA from 1 species
GGAUAACACUUAGAAAUAGGUGCUAAUACCGCAUAAGCGCACAGCUUCGCAUGAAGUGGUGUGAAAAACUCUGGUGGUAUACGAUGGUUCCGCGUCUGAUUAGCUUGUUGGUGGGGUAAUGGCUCACCAAGGCGACGAUCAGUAGCCGGCCUGAGAGGGUGAACGGCCACAUUGGGACUGAGACACGGCCCAAACUCCUACGGGAGGCAGCAGUGGGGAAUAUUGCACAAUGGGGGAAACCCUGAUGCAGCGACGCCGCGUGAGUGAAGAAGUAUUUCGGUAUGUAAAGCUCUAUCAGCAGGGAGGAAAAUGACGGUACCUGAUUAAGAAGCCCCGGCUAACUACGUGCCAGCAGCCGCGGUAAUACGUAGGGGGCAAGCGUUAUCCGGAUUUACUGGGUGUAAAGGGAGCGUAGACGGCAGCACAAGUCUGAAGUGAAAUGCCGGGGCUUAACCCCGGAACUGCUUUGGAAACUGUGCAGCUAGAGUGCAGGAGAGGUAAGUGGAAUUCCUAGUGUAGCGGUGAAAUGCGUAGAUAUUAGGAGGAACACCAGUGGCGAAGGCGGCUUACUGGACUGUAACUGACGUUGAGGCUCGAAAGCGUGGGGAGCAAACAGGAUUAGAUACCCUGGUAGUCCACGCUGUAAACGAUGAUUACUAGGUGUUGGGGGACCAAGGUCCUUCGGU